GCCUGUACAUGAAAAUGGCCCCAGCCUCGGGCUCACUUAAAAAUCAUCAGGGAUUCUAAUUGAUGAGCCUGAAAUGAGCAGGACAAUGUUUCUUUGUAAACCACCAUCAUAGAUUUCUGAUGAAUCAGGAGCCAAAAGUGAGAGAGGCUGUCACAGUCCCAGCUGGAACCCCUGGAAUUGAUUAUCACCCAUUUUCUCAGAAGAUAGAGCACAGAUAGCAUGAUGAGAGUGACCAGCAGACCUAGACCUAACAAGCUUGGAACAUGCUGUGUCUCUUCAUGCCUCCAUACGAUGCUUUACUGCAGCCAGAGCAGGCUACACAGGAGCAGAUGGGCUGUCUUCAUGCGCAUUCCUCUACUGUGUGCCUGGAGAUACCCAGCAGUCAGACAGGUUACCCGAAAGGAGGCAACAUGACUUUGAUGUACCCAGCAGUUUGGAGGGCACAGCUUACACAUGCCUGUGUCCAGCAUGUACCAUGGGGCUCAGCCCAUCUCUUACUACAUGUACCAACAUUGGCAGAAUGCAAUCUGACUCCAGAGCCCUUCCCAUGGCCCUUCACUCCAUCAGGAGUAAGCAGUGACCAGCUCUGCCAGACCCUCAGAGCUGUUUGGUUGGGGACUCUGUAUUCGAUGUUCAUCCACUGCUUCCCUAAUUUGUACCAUGACUUCAUCCGUUAUUGAUGAUAAUUAUGUUUCCUUAUCAUGAGACAUGAAGGAGAAAGAAAAUGGAAACU